rnacentral:tRNA from 2 species
CCGACCUUAGCUCAGUUGGUAGAGCGGAGGACUGUAGUGUUGCAGGUUAAUCCUUAGGUCGCUGGUUCGAAUCCGGCAGGUCGGA